rnacentral:rRNA from 1 species
AAUUUUGGACAAUGGGCGCAAGCCUGAUCCAGCAAUGCCGCGUGAGUGAAGAAGGCCUUCGGGUUGUAAAGCUCUUUUGUCAGGGAAGAAACGGCUGGGGCUAAUAUCCCCGGCUAAUGACGGUACCUGAAGAAUAAGCACCGGCUAACUACGUGCCAGCAGCCGCGGUCAUACGUAGGACCCAAGCGUUAUCCGGAGUGACUGGGCGUAAAGAGUUGCGUAGGUGGUUAGUAAAGUGAAUAGUGAAACCUGGUGGCUCAACCAUACAGACUAUUAUUCAAACUCACUAACUCGAGAGUAGCAGAGGUAACUGGAAUUUCUUGUGUAGGAGUGAAAUCCGUAGAUAUAAGAAGGAACACCAAUGGCGUAGGCAGGUUACUGGGCUAUUUCUGACACUGAGGCACGAAAGCGUGGGGAGCGAAC